AGGAAAAGAAGGAAGUGUUUCCCUUUACGGAGGGGCUCCCUUCUUUGCCAUUGCCUUUGGAGAUUUCUUCAGCAUUUGAGAGCAGACUCUCCAGGUUCCAAUACGGACUCACACCGGUGAUUCAACAAUGAGCUUCCAGGCCUUCAACUGUGCUACUGGAUUCUCCAUGCGGCAUGCAAGACCCCUAAUACAGCUGUACAGCAAGGAAAGAAACCAGCAAGCCCAAGAUUGCUACAUACAACAGCAUGGAUGGAUCUUGAAUGCACAAUGUCUAGUGUAGGAAGCCAGACCUGAGACCUGAGAGCACAUGUGCCUUGUGAUUCCACAUGUGUGAGCUGCAGGGACAGGAGAGAUUUCUUGUAAUAGAAGCCGGAAGGGAAGGGAGCAUGACCCUGAGCAAACCAGCCACUGCUGAAUAAACAGGAACUGAGAAUUCAGCCAACAGAUGCUCCGUCUCUACACCAGGAGUGCAAAGGUGAGAGGAGAUGUUGCUUCCAGGUGUUUUGAGACUCCUGAGUGAGGUGGGCUUUGGGAGUUUCAAUUCUAG
rnacentral:lncRNA from 1 species